UAACUGAAGAGUUUGAUCAUGGCUCAGAUUGAACGCUGGCGGCAGGCUUAACACAUGCAAGUCGAGCGGGGGAAAGUAGCUUGCUACCGGACCUAGCGGCGGACGGGUGAGUAAUGCUUAGGAAUCUGCCUAUUAGUGGGGGACAACAUCUCGAAAGGGAUGCUAAUACCGCAUACGUCCUACGGGAGAAAGCAGGGGAUCUUCGGACCUUGCGCUAAUAGAUGAGCCUAAGUCGGAUUAGCUAGUUGGUGGGGUAAAGGCCUACCAAGGCGACGAUCUGUAGCGGGUCUGAGAGGAUGAUCCGCCACACUGGGACUGAGACACGGCCCAGACUCCUACGGGAGGCAGCAGUGGGGAAUAUUGGACAAU
rnacentral:rRNA from 1 species